GUAAUCACAAUUUGAAAGAACAUACAUCAACAUAAGCAUACCAAAAAAAAAAGGGGGGGCAGUCUCAUCUUUUUAUUUUUUCACUACUACAAAAGCCAUACGUUCGAGACGCUUUGUCCUCGACGCGUGGAUAUAGGCGUUGGGGGUUUGCAAAUUCCCGCCUAUCCUCGAUGCUUAAAGGCGUCGUCAAGAUGCUUCGUUGCUUUUAGGCGUCGUUCAGGACACGUGCAGUGCAUGUGUUAUGUUAAAUAGCGCAUCACCUUAGGAAUGCUAUACAAGAAGCAAAACCGCCUACUCUAACUUCCCACUUCAGUACUCCACGCACACACGAACCCUAAUUCUUCACAAUUCAAUCUCAGUCUCAAAUCUAGCAUAAUUCACUGUUCAGUUCAUGUGCCCAGCAGUCUUAAAGCAAUUGCGAAGAUUUUCGCGAAAUCGGAAUAUUUGACAACGAAUUUUUGGAAAUUUCAAUACAAGUCGUCAGUAGGUUUGUCUCGAAUGAUUGCCUUUUUUCUGCAAUUAUGUAACAUUCUCAUCCGAUUUUCUAAUUUCCAUAAAAAUUCUGCAAUUUCACAUCGAAUUUCUUGAAAUUUCCAUGGAAGCUGCACACGACAACGAAAUUCUUUUUUGCUAGAUCUUAUUAAGUAGUUAGCGUUUUAAGGCUUCAAUUGGUGCUAAGGUCUGUGAAAUUCUUUAUGGGUUCUCUUUGUUUCUAUUAUAACUUCUCUAGACCCGUGUUAUAAAUUUUGUUUGGAAUAUCCGAGUCUUAUUUGGUCAUUAAUUGCUCAAUUAAGCCUUCGAUUAUUAUAAAUUUGCAUUAUUAGUUUAAAGUUGCGUAAUUAACCCUUCAAUUAGUAUGGCAAGAGGAGUUGAUAAAUAUCAAAUAAUAGUAUAACUUCAACUUAUCAUGAAAGAUUGGUUAUUACACUCCUGAGAUGAUUGAACCCCUCUCGCUGAAAGCUAACCAAGUGCCUAGUACAGGUGUUUGAUGUUUUAAUCUAAAUGCAUUACCAAGCUGAAUUGCUCUUCACAAAGAGAAGAAAGCAGAAAGGCAAUAAAGAGUUUGGCUGACAUGUGUGAGGUCAUGAGGACAAUUAAUUUUAGCUUUCAAAUGUUUUGAAUUAAAGGAGAUGAGCUGUAGUAUAACUUGAAAUAAGACUUAUUAAUCUAGUAUUAUAAUUAAGGUAUACUCAUAAGAGCUACGAGUGCAAAAAUGGUCGUCCCUCUUCUUAAAUAAAGCAACUCACCAAGCCUGGAGAGUAGUUGGUAUUUGGUACCAAUGAUUGUCGUUUUCGUUUGUGCUAAUAUAGAAACAUAUUUGAUUUUAAUUUAGACAACUUAUUAUGGGGAAUAAAACCUGCAUUUUGUAGCUGAAAGAUAUACUUUUUUUAUUGUCAUGCUUUUUUGAUUAUUUACUUGUAGAUAGCAUAUAUUGGCCAGUAUUCGUUGUAGCAACUUUAGCCGCAAUUGUUGCUAGUCAAGCAACCAUAUCUGCGACAUUUUCAAUUAUAAAGCAGGCUCUUGCUUUAGGCUGCUUUCCAAUAGUGAAGGUAGUACACACUUCAAAGAAAUUUCUUGGGCAAGUAUACAUUCCAGAUAUCAGCUGGAUUCUUAUGAUCCUUUGCAUAGUUGUAAAUGCUGGAUUUAGGAACCAAAAUCAGAUUGGAAAUGCUUAUGGUGAGUUUCAUUCUUUUAUUUAUACAAAAGCCUUGUAUCUGUUAUGAAAUAGUUACAUGCUUGUGGCUUCUCGCUUGUAUUAUGCUAUUUGCUUCCUUGUUCCUUUUUCCCCCUUUUGGUGUGGUAUAUUGUGUGUGCACAAACACUAAGAGGUGAAGCUCCACUGCCCCCUCUAUCAGGCACUUCUUUUGAUCUAUCUAUCUGUAAUGGUGGAAACAUUGUGUUCGUUACCAGGUUAGCUCUUAGGCUCUCAGGUGCUUAUGACCACAGGUCAGGACCAGCUAAUUUUGAUCCUGAUAUUGAUAAGACAGUGUUUAUUAGAACCAUUGAGCACAGAUGAAGAAUAUCACAGCAUAAUCUAUUGUAGUAGUUUGAAGAUUUUGAUCGUUAGGGUCAGCCAUUUACAUCAUUAGGGAGCUGUAAUAGAUUGAUUAUGGUCUUGGGAAUAAAUGUCAGCCCUCAUUCUCUCUACUAUAUAGCUAGUAUUUAAUACUUUGCUACUCCAACAAGAUAACCAGAUCUUUCAUGUCCGGAGCAGCUUCACUCCUGCUUGAAACUAGCUAACUAGAUAGCCACAAAAUGCAUAUCAUUCAUUGCAUUUCUCGUUGCAUCAAUGACUGUCUGGGUGCCUCUUUAUCUGCUAGGAGGAAUAAAUCUUGAUGGAAGGAACUCUCUGAUGUAUAUAUUCCAUUAAUUUACUGAACUUUCAUGUGACUCUAUUGCUAUUAUAAUUUCAAACCUUAGGUUCUUAAGUCAUGGUUCUUCUUUUUGUUAAGGUUUUGAUAUUUUUCCUGGCUGGAGAAACCCAAAGUGGGAGAGGGAAGAUCACAUGCUUGUUGUAUUUUUAUUAAAAUAUUAAAGAGAUAAGCAGGCCGGAGUAUGCAUAUCGAACUGCGGGUUCUCCCCCAGAUAUUCCUCCAGAGUACUCGAAAAUAAUGAAGGUGCAACAUAUCAAGAACGGAUGGCUUCAAAGUAGCUACCAUCGUAUCGUCAUCUAUUUUGCUAGCGCGCUAGCUCUUAUUAGUUAGCUUAUUUUCAAGGUUACUUCACUUUAGAUAUUUUUAUUAAUUAGACUUAACUACAACAUACAAUUUGCUAUUAUGUUUAUAGAAAAAUACAUAUAUGGUUAGGAUUUUGGUGAAUAUGCAAUAUUUGUAGGGAUUUUAAUUAUCUUAGUAUAUAUACAUUUAUAAUAUAUUGAUCAAA